rnacentral:rRNA from 1 species
AAUGAACGCUGGCGGCGUGCCUAAUACAUGCAAGUCGAGCGAAUGGAUUAAGAGCUUGCUCUUAUGAAGUUAGCGGCGGACGGGUGAGUAACACGUGGGUAACCUGCCCAUAAGACUGGGAUAACUCCGGGAAACCGGGGCUAAUACCGGAUAACAUUUUGAACCGCAUGGUUCGAAAUUGAAAGGCGGCUUCGGCUGUCACUUAUGGAUGGACCCGCGCCGCAUUAGCUAGUUGGUGAGGUAACGGCUCACCAAGGCAACGAUGCGGAGCCGACCUGAGAGGGUGAUCGGCCACGGUGGGACUGAGACACGGCCCAGACUCCUACGGGAGGCAGCAGUAGGGAAUCUUCCGCAAUGGACGAAAGUCUGACGGAGCAACGCCGCGUGAGUGAUGAAGGCUUUCGGGUCGUAAAACUCUGUUGUUAGGGAAGAACAAGUGCUAGUUGAAUAAGCUGGCACCUUGACGGUACCUAACCAGAAAGCCACGGCUAACUACGUGCCAGCAGCCGCAGUAA